rnacentral:rRNA from 1 species
GAUGAACGCUAGCUACAGGCUUAACACAUGCAAGUCGAGGGGCAGCGCAGUGUAGCAAUACAUGGGCGGCGACCGGCGCACGGGUGCGUAACGCGUAUCCAACCUUCCCGAUACUCAGGGAUAGCCUUCCGAAAGGGAGAUUAAUACCUGAUGGUGUUUCAAUUCCGCAUGUUAAUGAAACUAAAGAUUUAUCGGUAUCGGAUGGGGAUGCGUGACAUUAGAUAGUAGGCGGGGUAACGGCCCACCUAGUCUACGAUGUCUAGGGGUUCUGAGAGGAAGGUCCCCCACACUGGAACUGAGACACGGUCCAGACUCCUACGGGAGGCAGCAGUGAGGAAUAUUGGUCAAUGGUCGGAAGACUGAACCAGCCAAGUAGCGUGAAGGAUGAAGGUUCUAUGGAUUGUAAACUUCUUUUAUAUAGGAAUAAACCUCCCACGUGUGGGAGCUUGUAUGUACUAUAUGAAUAAGCAUCGGCUAACUCCGUGCCAGCA